GACGAACGCUGGCGGCGCGCCUAACACAUGCAAGUCGAACGAGCGAGAGAGAGCUUACUUUCUCGAGCGAGUGGCGAACGGGUGAGUAACGCGUGAGGAACCUGCCUCAAAGAGGGGGACAACAGUUGGAAACGACUGCUAAUACCGCAUAAGCCCACGGCUCGGCAUCGAGCAGAGGGAAAAGGAGCAAUCCGCUUUGAGAUGGCCUCGCGUCCGAUUAGCUAGUUGGUGAGGUAACGGCCCACCAAGGCGACGAUCGGUAGCCGGACUGAGAGGUUGAACGGCCACAUUGGGACUGAGACACGGCCCAGACUCCUACGGGAGGCAGCAGUGGGGAAUAUUGCACAAUGGGGGAAACCCUGAUGCAGCGACGCCGCGUGGAGGAAGAAGGUCUUCGGAUUGUAAACUCCUGUUGUUGAGGAAGAUAAUGACGGUACUCAACAAGGAAGUGACGGCUAACUACGUGCCAGCAGCCGCGGUAAAACGUAGGUCACAAGCGUUGUCCGGAAUUACUGGGUGUAAAGGGAGCGCAGGCGGGAAGACAAGUUGGAAGUGAAAUCCAUGGGCUCAACCCAUGAACUGCUUUCAAAACUGUUUUUCUUGAGUAGUGCAGAGGUAGGCGGAAUUCCCGGUGUAGCGGUGGAAUGCGUAGAUAUCGGGAGGAACACCAGUGGCGAAGGCGGCCUACUGGGCACCAACUGACGCUGAGGCUCGAAAGUGUGGGUAGCAAACAGGAUUAGAUACCCUGGUAGUCCACACUGUAAACGAUGAUUACUAGGUGUUGGAGGAUUGACCCCUUCAGUGCCGCAGUUAACACAAUAAGUAAUCCACCUGGGGAGUACGACCGCAAGGUUGAAACUCAAAGGAAUUGACGGGGGCCCGCACAAGCAGUGGAGUAUGUGGUUUAAUUCGACGCAACGCGAAGAACCUUACCAAGUCUUGACAUCCUGCGACGCACAUAGAAAUAUGUGUUUCCUUCGGGACGCAGAGACAGGUGGUGCAUGGUUGUCGUCAGCUCGUGUCGUGAGAUGUUGGGUUAAGUCCCGCAACGAGCGCAACCCUUAUGGUCAGUUACUACGCAAGAGGACUCUGGCCAGACUGCCGUUGACAAAACGGAGGAAGGUGGGGAUGACGUCAAAUCAUCAUGCCCUUUAUGACUUGGGCUACACACGUACUACAAUGGCGUUAAACAAAGAGAAGCAAGACCGCGAGGUGGAGCAAAACUCAGAAACAACGUCCCAGUUCGGACUGCAGGCUGCAACUCGCCUGCACGAAGUCGGAAUUGCUAGUAAUCGCAGAUCAGCAUGUUGCGGUGAAUACGUUCCCGGGCCU
rnacentral:rRNA from 1 species